GGUUGGAAAGAUGGCUCAGUGGUUAAGAGCACUGACUGCUCUUCCAAAGGUCCUGAGUUCAAAUCCCAGCAACCA
rnacentral:tRNA from 1 species